rnacentral:rRNA from 1 species
GACGAACCGUGCGAACGUUGUUCGGAAUCACUGGGCUUAAAGGGCGCGUAGGCGGCCUGCCAAGUCAGGGGUGAAAGCCCCCAGCUCAACUGGGGAAGUGCCCUUUGAUACUGGCGGGCUCGAGCGAGGUAGGGGUCGUGGGAACUUCCGGUGGAGCGGUGAAAUGCGUUGAUAUCGGAAGGAACGCCGGUGGCGAAAGCGCACGACUGGACCUCUCCUGACGCUGAGGCGCGAAAGCCAGGGGGAGCAAACGGG